rnacentral:misc_RNA from 1 species
GCCAAUCAAUGUCCGGUUUAUUGAGUUUAUGCCGUUUGAUGGGAAUGUUUGGAAUGUCAAGAAGCUAGUACCUUAUGCUGAAAUGUUGGACAAAGUGGGCUUCAGAGAAUUCAAGAUCAUCGCACAGAGACAGCUAAGAAUUUCAGGAUAGAUGGGCAUCAAGGCUCUGUUUCAUUUAUUACAUCAAUGACUGAGCAUUUCUGUGCUGGUUGUAACAGACUGCGACUUUUAGCUGAUGGAAACUUUAAAGUUUGCCUUUUUG